rnacentral:rRNA from 1 species
CACGUAGGGCGCAAGCGUUGUCCGGAAUUAUUGGGCGUAAAGAGCUCGUAGGCGGUUCGGCAAGUCACGUGUGAAAUCUCCACGCUCAACGUGGAGGCGCCACGUGAGACUGCUGUGACUCGAGUCCGGUAGGGGAGCGUGGAAUUCCCGGUGUAGCGGUGAAAUGCGCAGAGAUCGGGAGGAACACCCGUAGCGAAGGCGGCGCUCUGGGCCGGUACUGACGCUGAGGAGCGAAAGCGUGGGGAGCAAACAGG